rnacentral:rRNA from 1 species
AGCAGCCGCGGUAAUUCCAGCUCCAAUAGUGUAUAUUAAAGUUGUUGCAGUUAAAAAGCUCGUAGUUGAAUUUCGGGGUCAGCAGGUUGGUCGUGCCACUGGUAUGCACUGGUUUCGCUGAUUCCUCCUUUCUGAAGAACUGUAAUGUCAUUAAUUUGGUGUUGCAGGGAAACAGGACUGUUACUUUGAAAAAAUUAGAGUGUUUAAAGCAGGCUAACGCUUGAAUACAUUAGCAUGGAAUAAUGAAAUAGGACGUUUGAUCCUAUUUUGUUGGUUUCUAGGAUUGACGUAAUGAUUAAUAGGGAUAGUUGGGGGCAUUAGUAUUCAAUUGUCAGAGGUGAAAUUCUUGGAUUUAUUGAAGACUAACUACUGCGAAAGCAUUUGCCAAGGAUGUUUUCAUUAAUCAAGAACGAAAGUUAGGGGAUCGAGGACAAUCAGAUACCGUCGUAGUCUUAACCAUAAACUAUGCCGACUAGGGAUCGGAUGAUGUUAAUUUUUUAANGAGNNCA